rnacentral:rRNA from 1 species
UACGUAGGGUGCAAGCGUUAAUCGGAAUUACUGGGCGUAAAGCGUUCGCAGGCGGUUCGGAAAGAGAGGUGUGAAAUCCCAGGGCUUAACCUUGGAACUGCACUUCUAACUACCGGGCUAGAGUACGUCAGAGGGGGGUAGAAUUCCACGUGUAGCAGUGAAAUGCGUAGAGAUGUGGAGGAAUACCGAUGGCGAAGGCAGCCCCCUGGGAUGAUACUGACGCUCAUGCACGAAAGCGUGGGGAGCAAACAGG